rnacentral:rRNA from 1 species
UACGUAGGGGGCAAGCGUUGUCCGGAAUUAUUGGGCGUAAAGAGCGCGUAGGCGGCCCUGUAAGUCCGCUGUGAAAGUCAAGGGCUCAACCCUUGGAUGCCGGUGGAUACUGCAGGGCUAGAGUCCGGAAGAGGCGAGUGGAAUUCCUGGUGUAGCGGUGAAAUGCGCAGAUAUCAGGAGGAACACCGAUGGCGAAGGCAGCUCGCUGGGACGGUACUGACGCUGAGGCGCGAAAGCCAGGGGAGCGAACGGG